UUCCGGUUGAUCCUGCCGGACCUGACUGCUAUCGGAUUGAUACUAAGCCAUGCGAGUCAUUGUAGCAAUACAAGGCAGACGGCUCAGUAACGCGUAGUCAACCUAACCUAUGGACGGGAAUAACCUCGGGAAACUGAGAAUAAUGCCCGAUAGAACACUAUAUCUGGAAUGGUUUGUGUUCCAAAUGAUUUAUCGCCGUAGAAUGGGACUGCGGCCUAUCAGUUUGUUGGUGAGGUAAUGGCCCACCAAGACUAUUACAGGUACGGGCUCUGAAAGGAGUAGCCCGGAGAUGGGUACUGAGACACGGACCCAGGCCCUAUGGGGCGCAGCAGGCGAGAAAACUUUGCAAUGUGCGAAAGCACGACAAGGUUAAUCCGAGUGGUUUGUGCUAAACGAACCUUUUGUCGGUCCUAGAAACACCGAUGAAUAAGGGGUGGGCAAGUUCUGGUGUCAGCCGCCGCGGUAAAACCAGCACCUCAAGUGGUCAGGAUGAUUAUUGGGCCUAAAGCAUCCGUAGCCGGCGCUAUAAGUUUUCGGUUAAAUCUGUACGCUCAACGUACAGGCUGCCGGGAAUACUGUAGCGCUAGGGAGUGGGAGAGGUAGACGGUACUCGGUAGGAAGGGGUAAAAUCCUUUGAUCUAUUGAUGACCACCUGUGGCGAAGGCGGUCUACCAGAACACGUCCGACGGUGAGGGAUGAAAGCUGGGGGAGCAAACCGGAUUAGAUACCCGGGUAGUCCCAGCUGUAAACUAUGCAAACUCAGUGAUGCAUUGGCUUGUGGCCAAUGCAGUGCUGCAGGGAAGCCGUUAAGUUUGCCGCCUGGGAAGUACGUACGCAAGUAUGAAACUUAAAGGAAUUGGCGGGGGAGCACCACAAGGGGUGAAGCCUGCGGUUCAAUUGGAUUCAACGCCGGA
rnacentral:rRNA from 2 species